rnacentral:sRNA from 1 species
ACAGCACUGAUGCUAAAGAAAAGAAUUGUGGUGUAUCACCCCAAGAUAGAAGCAGUCCAGGAGUUCACCAGGACUCUGCCUGCCCUGGUGUGGCACCGACAGGACUGGACCAUCCUUCACUCUUACGUGCACCUCAACGCCGAUGAGCUGGAAGCCCUGCAGAUGUGCACAGGUUACGUCGCUGGAUUUGUAGACUUGGAGGUGAGCAACAGACCAGACCUCUAUGAUGUGUUUGUGAAUCUGGCAGAGAGUGAGAUUACCAUUGCUCCCCUUGCAAAAGAGGCCAUGGCAAUGGGCAAACUGCACAAAGAAAUGGGUCAGCUAAUUGUUCAGUCUGCAGAAGAUCCAGAGAAAUCAGAGAGCCAGGUUAUACAGGAAGAACUUUAAUUCCUCCUGAGGAACUCUACUUUCUGAGCCAAACUGCUAAUUUUCUGCGGAACUGUCUAGAAGAUCAUUCAAGAGACCCUGCAGUUGCACUUUGUCGUAAAAGUUUAAAAAA